UUUCAACAAUAAGACAAAAUGGACUUUAACAGCCUCGAUUAAAGCUCAAGUUCAUUCAUACAUCUACAGCCAGCGCUCCAAGCGG